CCUACGGGAGGCAGCAGUGAGGAAUAUUGGUCAAUGGGAGAGAUCCUGACCCAGCCAAGCCGCGUGAGGGAAGACGGCCCUAUGGGUUGUAAACCUCUUUUGUCGGAGAACAAAACCCGGGACGUGUCCCGGACUGCGUGUAUCCGAAGAAAAAGCAUCGGCUAACUCCGUGCCAGCAGCCGCGAUAAUACGGAGGAUGCGAGCGUUAUCCGGAUUUAUUGGGUUUAAGGGGUGCGUAGGCGGUCCGUUAAGUCAGCGGGAAAAUUGCGGGGCUCAACCCCAUCGAGCCGUUGAAACUGGCAGACUUGAGUUGGCGAGAAGUACGCGGAAUGCGCGGUGUAGCGGUGAAAUGCAUAGAUAUCGCGCAGAACUCCGAUUGCGAAGGCAGCGUACCGGCGCCAGACUGACGCUGAGGCACGAAAGCGUGGGGAUCGAACAGGAUUAGAUACCCCGGUAGUC
rnacentral:rRNA from 1 species